ensembl:lncRNA
AAACUCCAGAACCCAAAGCAAAUUUUCCUGCCCGGUACAAGGAGGACAUAUUUUCACUGACUGUUUCCAUGGAAAUAAAUCGGAGGCAUUACUUUUGGAGCAACUAUGCGGCCCAAGAUAAUUUGUCUUGACUCAGUGUGAUCCAGGCAAGCCAAAAGGUUGCACACCCAUGAAAUAAGCCAAGAAAGUACAUGGACUGCAAGAAAAUUCUUUUUGGUCUACUGACAUCCCUGUUUAAUUAAUAAGGUUUUGUCCUCUUCACCAGUCACAAAAAAAUAUUUGUUUGGAAUUUGGUAAACUGAAGUGGAAGUGUCCUCGCCGCUGAGAAUUUACACUGGGACCAGAAUGAUGCCUGCUCUUCCCUCACACAAGGAUGCAGAGCCUAUCGAAGGAAGGGAAUUACAAAAUGACAAGGAUCAUAUGAGCCACUUGGUGCAGUACACACAGAGCAGCUAAAAUAACCAGAAGCAGAGAAGUCAGUGAACAAGGGGUGAUGCCAUCUCUGAGACACAAAGUUAUAACAGAGUAAGCUGACAUUAUAAAGUGGCUGGAGAAGCUGUGUACUUCCUACAGCAGUAGAGGAGCAUGAAGUGCAAUCCUCCAUCAUUUUUGAGGAGAGAAACUCCGUCUGCAAGCUGUGAAAGCAAACUGGUCGUGUGAUUGCUGUCUGAAGGAGUAUCCUUUGAUACCUAUUGAUUCAAUUGAUUUCAUUUUGUGGAAUGGGUUGGAAAGGGCUGAUCUUUGUCUUCUGUCACAAGGACUGGGAAUUAAAUCAUUCUGUCGCCUUGGGCUCUGAUCAUGUUAAUUCCACAGCCAACAGGCAAACAUGGGCAUGGUGCCUGGCACAGUGGUGAUCUGUACUGUCAUUCAGAAGAUGAAACUGUGCGACAUUCACUAGGAGCCAACUGAAAAGUCACCGGAGGCACCCUGUGGCCUUUUCUUUUGAUGCAUAAACAGAUUUUACUGGAAGGGGGGAGAGUUGCCCAUUGCACCAGAUCAACUCUGCUUUUUCACAUCACUGCUUGGUUGCUGAUGUUGGUCCCUGGCACAGGGCUCUUCAAUUUUCAUCAGACUACUAAGAAUCCCCUCAGUAUUUCAAUGAGAGCAUUUAGGAUACUAAGAUAUAUCUGGUUUGCUUUGGAGUUUUUAUUGUUGUUGCUGAUUUUUUCCAAUCUGUGGAAGGAACUGUCACUAGGAAACCACUGUGGUACGGGAACUAUAUGAAUUCUGCAGUCUUCUUCAUAUCUCUUUAUCAAGUGAUAGAUACAGCCUGUCCACUCCAUUCUUUCCCUUUUUCCUAUUCUGUGACAGCAAAUAAAGACACCAGCUAAAGCCGGUUGUGGAGAUUAGGGCUGUUUUCAGCUCACCUUCUUAGCAAAACAAGGCUUACAUGCUUACUCUGCAUGUAAUCUUAAUGUCUUAUGAACACUUCUAGCCAAUCUCUCCCAAACAUAUCAGAAAAGCUGAGUUACCAGCACACUUACUUCCUACAUUUUCUUCCAGUUCAGUCAAAAGGAGCAGCCCAAAAAAUCAUCAGCAGCAUUUUUCUGCUGUAAGUGGGAAAGGUAGAAAAACAGCAGGAGAACUUUAUAUUUGCACAAGGAGAUAAUAUAAAUCUCACUUUCAAUCACUUAGUAUCCAUUCACUGAGAGAUGCACAUCCACAAGAAAGGAGGUGCGCAGCAACCCACGUUUUCUUAUGUGAAUACUUGUCAACUAGUAGACAAAUCAAACAAGUCAGUUGGUUCUUUGCAGGCUUACACUUGUGGCAUUGAACUUAAAUCAUUCCUAUUUCUGAAUUCUGGUCCUGAGUUUAGGUAAUGAUUUCUUUCUCAGUAGUGACUUUCUGUACUGGUUGAAACAUAAACUACUUAAAUGACUGUACUCAAUACUUAUUUAUUGUCUCUUGCAGAAUUAUCUUUCCCAAACCUUUCUUGAACUAUAAUGUUAAUCUGGGGAGCUCUGGAUGUAGUCCAUCCUGGAUGUCUGCUCCAGAUAAUACAAAAAAACCCUGAAUUUUUCAUAAUUCUUUCUAUACAUGCAUGUUGGUUUCUCAGGUAUGUGAUUUAUGGACUCUUUCAGCAUCACUUUCUGCUUUUGAGAAGAUACAGAAAAAAUAGCAGCCCUAAUGCAAGGGGAAGAUGUGAGGAAAAUCAAAAAGCUUUGUGUUCCCAGAGCAGUAAAAAAAUACCUCAAAAUGUUUUUCUUAAGAAAACAGUUUCUGGCAUGACCAGGAUGUUUUCAACUCAACUUUCUUCUACCUUGUUUAUACAGGUGAUCAUCAGUUUUCUUCAGCUUCUGGUCUAUCAGUCUCAGAGGAUAUUUACAGAUCGUAUAAUAUUGAAUUAGAAUCAUGGAAGUGUUAAUGUGCAAUAUAUGCAACAGAAUGGUGGCUACAAAUUAACACCAGUGUCCAAUCCUUCAGAAAAAAUAAUAGAAAUAUGCUACUGCUGAGAUUUAAUGCAAAGUGAAUGAAAAGAAACAGUGACAAUACUUCUCCAUGCUUUCAGAAUUAAGAGGAUUCUAACACUAAUCAAAACCUUUCACACAUUCUUUUUUCCCAUGCUGAAAAUGGAUCAAAGUUUGAAAAUACAACUCAGAGAUUAUUAUGUUUGCAUGCGUAUUUUACAAUCUAUAAACAAGACCUUUACUAAGCAAGCAACUUCUCUAUGGAAAAAGUUCAAUUUCCCAUAAAGAAUUCACGGGAAGAUCUGUAUGUUCAAAAUAUACUUUCUAUUUAUUUCACCCCAGAAAUUCAUCUGACCAAUUUCUUUUCCAGGAAGGGGGAUAAGUGAAAACAUAUGCUUGGUCAUUCUGUAUUUUUUUAACUUCUUGAAUUUCAGCAGUAAGGAGAUUAACUUGACUCAGUAUAAACUAGGGAUGGAAAGAUCUUUGAUGCAGCUGUGAAACUUUCUGCUUCUUUCAGAGCUGAAUGAACACAGCAACAGAGACAUCUGCCACAUCUGCUUCUGUUAUAAAGCAUCGAGUAUAUUGAGGAAGAUAAUGCUUGGUCAUGGUACAUGUUAAUAUCACCUACUGACAAAGCAGGGUUUUCUUAUGUUCAGUUAUGUACACUGACCUGGUAUUAAGUGGAAGGAUCACUGCCCUUUUACAACCUUUUGUACUUGUUCAAUAGCUUUUGAUUCUGUUUGGAGAACCCGUUUCUUGUUAAAAACUUGAGCAACCAAAUCCAUCCUCCUUGAGCAUUGCUGCUCAUAUACCACAGAAUCACCAAAUUCUUGUGGGCUUUCCAAAGCCUUCGUGAGCUAAUGGUGGUCUCCCAUGAUUUCCUUCAAAAUCCGCACAACUGUAAUAAGCCAGAUACCUUAGACUUACAAGGACAGCAUUCACUAACAGCUUUGAAAUGUGUAUACCCAUUGCUGCUUUGAAAACAAGGCCAAAACAGCAUUUUAUUUUUACUGAACAUUAUUAGAGAGCUCUCCACUAAGCCUGUCCAGAACUUUUGUAUUAUUUGAGAUGAAACAAGAAGAGGAAGCUUCUUCUCUAGAAAUUUUGUACUAGUGAGGUUUUUUUAUUCAGCUGAACCCAAAAGCAGAAUUUGGAUCAGAGGUUUUAUUGUAAAAUCUCCAUUACUUCCUGUAGAUUUUCCUAUUGCUGUGCAGCCCAAUUGAGCAGAUGGUAUUAUUCAUCUAUUUUUCUUCUUUGAACUGCGACUGUAACUGUCAUUUGUCUUCUGACAGUCUUAUCUUCCUGUUUUUGGUGGGGUUUUUUUUGUUUGUUUGUUUGUUUGUUUUUCCUAAAAUAUUUGGUGAUCUGGUCAAAAGCAUGCUGAGAAAUCGUUACGUGUUACUACCCUGGGUAAAUUGCCUUCCAAGUUCUGCAGGUGAAUUUCAUCUCUAAUCAGAUUCCUGCUGCAUGACAUCAGCUGUAUAGAAUUCAAAUCAAUACAAAAGUCCUCUUGCAGGUUUGAGCUCCCUCUGAAGGAUCAGCCAUUUCAUUUAUCAGCUAAAUGAUAUACCUGAUAUAUACUUGUUGCUGGAAUAUACCUGGGAUGGUCUGAGUGACAGUCUUCAUUUCUGGUUUGGAGGAGAUUCAAGAAGGAAACAACAACCCAAGAGCAAGGAGGUUGUGAAUCAGCCAAACCUCUGGGAGACAUCAUGCACAGAGGAGGAGACACCAAGACUCCAUGCUCAGGAAAACUGAUAUACUUCUGAGACAAAUAUGGUGAGAAAGGCAGCAACACUAUCUUCUAACACCAAAGUUGCAAAUCUAUUCUGGUGAAGCUAAGUGAAAAAUGAAGCAAACUGAUUUCAGAGACAUAUACGUAGGCCUAUGGAGAAAGCCCCAAGCAUAAAAACUAGCUCUCAGCACGAAACAUGGGUAGCAAUUGCCUUUGAUUACUAACAGCAGGUUUUUCAGUCUAUGGACAAACGUGUAGAUUAUGAGCAAUUUUCUGAGGCAUCUAAAUCAGCAUAUUCAGAUAGAAACAAAUUUUUGAUGCUAUGGCAUCACAGCUACAGUCCAAAUUACAUUGCACAGAUGUACAUGUAAAUAUCUUACUUGUACUGAAGGCAGCUCAGAAAAAGCAGGGAAUCUGACAUCUCCCCUGAGAUUUUUAAGAUAGUUCAAAUGAUAAAAUAAGUAAGUUCCUCAGAAACAAGAUGGGUGUUGGUGACAGUUUGUACAUUCAGCACAACAAAUAAUCAGCUGCUAUGAAUUUGGAUAACCCUGUUAAAGCCAACAGAACAGAAACAGUUUUUAUCAAGUUACAGCUAGUCCAGAGCAUAUACAUGAGACUUGUACAUAACAAUACUGCAGAUAUAUGGAGAAACUGUAAUGCAGACAGCAGCUUUAUAGUGGGCUUUCAUAUGCCUAUAUACUUCUAAACUGUAUGUGUAACUACAUUCUUGUCAGUUCUUCAGCCUUUUCAGAUGGAUAUGUUACUUCUCUCUAACGUGUCAGUUUUCUGACUAACCUGUCAUAACAAUCUAUGACACCACUCUCUAACAGCUUACCACUGCUUUACAUGAAAUGUGAGGGUUUGUCUGCAGUCACACAUAGGAAUCAUAUUCCAAAAUAAGAGUGUGGGGGAGACGUCUGUAAGUAUAGAUGUAAGCGCAUACGUAUGUAUACGUAGACAGACACACAGAUCCAAAAUAUCUGCCUGUGAAUCAUUGGAAUUACAAUCACAGAGAAUGAAGCAGCACAAGAUGGGAUAUUUCUCCUGAGCUGCACACUGUUUCUCAGCUUUGUGGAAAACUCCUUUUAUGCUGUGACCACAAAUGAUGCACCAUCAGUGGAGUGAUACCGUGUUGCUGAGAAAUGAACUGCUUGUUUGAAUGGACUUUGCAUUCGUUAUAGAAAAGGAACAACUCCAGUUUUAGAUAGAUUCAUUUAUUUACUUUGUGCUGUUUCCAUGACUCAUAAUCCUUUUAAUAAAUCAAACUAAAGAACAUAACAUCAAAUCAGAGAAUCAUAGAAUCGUUAGAGUUGGAAGGAAUGCUCAUAGGCCAAGGAGGUGCAAGGAGAUACAGGUUCUUGAUUUGAGUCCCUCUGGAACACUUGAAAACAUAAAAAUUGUUCAAAAUAUCAUCUUUCCAAAUUAAUAUGUGUUCUUUUUCUGUAUUGUGCACACCGACAUGACAUGAUUCCUGGAAUUUCCUGCUGAUAGAACAUGUUUCCAAAGAUGAGAAGAGAUCCAAAACUUUACAUUAGCAUAGUUUAAAUUCACAAGUCCAUGGCCUCAGCCUACAGACAAUGAUGCCCCAGUCUCACUUGCAGCUAUUUCCAUUAGACGAGUGUGGCUGAUGGGUCAGAAUGGAAAAACUCAUGGGAAAAAAAGACAACUUAAAAUCCAAAAGAUAAUGUUGGAGGUUUUAUCUGUGCUUCUGACAAUACACGGCUGUUAACUCUACUAAUCUGGGCUUUCUCUAAGGGCUGGCAGGGAAUUCAACAUAACCAAAUCUACUCUCUCUGAGGUGCAGGAACUUUCUGGAGCUUAUAAUGAAAGUCUGGAUGCUCAUGGAAAUCAAAGCUGCAUGCUCCUGCCCACAGAAGAGACAGGCAGCAUUGCCACUGCCCUGUGGCCCCAGAAAUAGAAUGGAAAUCUUUGAGGGACCUAAGAGAGAGGACUACAGCGAACACACAAUCUGUGUUUCCUGUAAACUUCUUCAUUUUCCCUCCAUCCUACUUUCAAAUGAAAACAGUCCCUACUGUUCUGAUGUAGGGGAAAAGUCUUUCCUGAUACAUAGCUUAAACUUAAAUGCUUAAAAGAGAAGGCAAACAGGUCCCAGAAAGGCUUAUCUGCAUCACAGAGGACACUAGUACCUCCUACCCCUCUCUUUCCAGUUGAAACUUAUCUUGGAUGUUUCAGAAAAAAAAGAUGAAGAGAAAGAGAAAAACAGCCAAGCAUUGUGUAAGGAGGUGUGAAACAUGUUUCUGGCCUUUACUUUCAUUCUGUGCUACCAUCUCAAAAUCUUUUCCUUGUUUCUGGGCAUCCUGUGUGACCCUUGUAAUUACAGUGAAUGUCUCUCAGGCAACAUUAACCCCUGCCCUGAUCCAUCUCUAACAAUGAUUGCAUUAAAAACUUCACUGUGUCUGCAGCUAUUUAAUCAUUCAUCACCUGGAAAGUGGUACUGCUCUACUGCUCUGUGACUGUGGCCAUUAGUGGUGACAAGCAAGGUCUUCCUGAAAUUAAGAAUAUGACAGUAUGAGCUGGCUUAGAUUCGGCCUUUUACAGAUACAUCCAAUAAUGAAAACUCCUUCACAUCGGGACUGUCCAAAGCCCGCUGACGUCAGUGGAGAGAUCUGAUCUCAGUGGGCUUUAAAUCAGACUCUAUAGCUAAGGCUUCCAAAGCAGCUGGGGGGAUUCAGGCACGUAUCUUUCAUUAAAGUGAGGGUAUAUUAAAGCAAAUGGAAGAUAUGUGUCUGAAAUCCCCUAGACUGCUUUGAAAAUCUAAAAUACUGUGCAAGCUGUACAGCUUUCUCUAUAAAAAUAGCUGCCAAAUCUAGCUUUGGUAAAGGCAAUAGAACUGCAUUAAAAGAUCCGCAGAAAGGCCUGGUCCCUCUGAUCCUUUAGGAAAACAGAGAGAAGGAUGGCCAGAGUGCUUUAUUUUCAGCUUUAAACCGUUCCCACGUCAAAGACAUUUGCUCGAGCAAUUUAUGGGAAUGGCAUAGUAGCCAAAAGAAAAGUAAUGCUACUCUUGUCUACGUAGAUGUCACACUUAUAUGGCUCAUCAAGCUGGGAUCAGGACUGCAACAUCUCUCGUGGACAUUAAGGAAUAUUUGAUGUGGGUUUCUCCAUGAGCCUAUGUGCAAGGCUGAUCUGGUUGCAAAUUCAUGUUGAUAAGGCUGAGCCCAAGACAGCACCACCAUCAUUCCAACAGCUCCUCUCAGGAGAAGUCUUGGUAUAGACCCUUCUCCUCCUGUCCAGCUUUCAUGGGGACACAGCACUGUACCUCUCAGCCCCACGUAAGAACUCCCUCUGUUUUCUGAGAAGCAGUGAGACAAGCCUUCUUUCCUAUAGCCCACAAUGACAAUCUACUUAUUAUUCAGACACAGCCUCGCCUAAUUACCUUGUUAUUUUGUGGCAGGCUAGAACAAGGUAGCACCAUUAAGUCAAGAGUCUUCAUUUUAGCCAUCCACUGCCUUCAUUCUUGAUUUAGAAGGCAGUGGCACAAGAGUGCUCUCAGUCACACACAUCCCAUACAGCUCAGGUUGUCGUGCCACUAGCUUACCUUGGUUGUGUAUCUGCUUAUAGACUUUUUUCUUUAUUUCUUGCAUUUUUGGACUACCAAGAACAAGUUACAUUCUGUUAGAGUGACAAAGAGUAAUUGCAUUUUACGUGUUAUUUCUUGAUGGUAGAGGUACUUCAAACCUCAGAUUGAUUCCAGAUUUCAAAUAUCAGAAAGUUUGAUGCAGUCAGCUCAGGGUGUCCAAUUCUGACCUGUCUCCUGCAAACACAAUCAAAACCUUAUUAUAAGACUCAGAGCUCAGACAAAUGAUAAGCCAAGUCCAGGGAUCUGCCCAUAGUUCAUAUUUUUAGUGCAGGAAGAAUUGACUCAAAGGGAAAAUUGAUGUACAAGAAGAUGUGAUAAAGCUGACGUCCAGAUAGCAUUUGCUCUGCUGAAAUGUUACAACCUGAGCAAGACAAUCUGUGAAAGAGGUAAUUGAGCAUUUGAAAAGCACCUGUUAAUGACGGGUAAGAUAACAACCCCGAGGAACCACCUGUCAGGGCAGGUGAUGAACUCUCCCUCUGAUCUGUUUCUUACUACAGUUUUCUCCAGGGAAACUGGUAGCACAUUCACAUGUCUUUCUAGAGAAAGUUCAUAAUAACAGAGGAUUUAAAUAAACAGAAGAUUGAUUUUAAUGGAAGGUGAAUCAUUUGUAUUUCUUUUUUCUUUUAUCACGCAGCUGAAAUGUUUUAUCUAGCUUAGAUUAUGAGGAACGUAAAUAAAUUUAUGUUGAAUGUUAAAUAAACAUUUGCUUUCUUUUUUCCAAUUUCCUUUUCUCUUUCUCUUUUUAAUAAAUCUUAUUUGGGAUGA